AAUAUUAGUCAAUGCUCGCAAGAGUGAACUAGCUAACUGAAAUCACAAAAUUUUGUGAUAAUGUAAGGGAAAAAAAUGAUAUUACCUUACUAUUAGUGUUGUCAAAAACUGGUGCCAGAAGACUCGGUAAGGCCAGAAACGCAAACGUUAAUCAUCUUAAAAAGGCGUAAAGGGUUCGUAGGCGGCUUUAAGUAUAUAAAAAUUUUAAUAACUAUCUAUAAAUAUAUUAAUAUAAUUUAAAAUAUUAAUAGAUUAAAACUAAAUAUCAUUUAAAGCUAGAAUCAAAUUGAAGAUGUAUCGAAUAAUUCUUAGAGUAGGGGCGAUAUCCGGAAAUACUAAGAGGAAUACUAAUGGCGAAAGCUUUUUUCUAAUAAUGAUUGACGCUGAGGAACGAAGGGGAGGAUAGGAACAAGGAUUAGAUACCCAAUUACCCCUCUCUGUCAACGAUGAAUGGUGGUUGCUAAUAAAAAUUAUUAUUGGUGACUAUGUUAACACGAUAACCAUUCCGCCUUGUGAGUACGGUUGCAAAACUGAAAACAAAAAAAUUAGUCGGUCUCGAAGCAAACGAAGUGAAGCAUGUUAUUUAA
rnacentral:rRNA from 1 species